rnacentral:lncRNA from 1 species
AUAUUUUCCAUCUUUCAACUGGUGAUACCAAUAAGUACAUAAGGUUUGCUUAACACUUUUAUCUAGGCGUUCUAGUGUGCGUCUGAGUAAUGCAACAAUGACAAGAUGGAUAUUUGGGCAUGAGUUCUUUUUAGGUGAUCAACAAAAGAAUACUAUGUGCCUUUCUCCAAAGAUCAUCAAUACCCAUUUCCACAACAAGUGGUUUUGGCAAGGUCCCCUUACUUGUUUCUCCCUGAGUGAGAUUUUCCAGCAUGUAAACCCUUCAUGUUCUAGUUAUUCCUUUGGGAACACUCACUUCUUC